AGUGCUCAGCCCCCAGCCUGUGCUCACAUCAGACCACACAUCAGUCUGCGAUCAUGGCACAACUCAUACCAACAGCUGGACUACAAUUGGCAAGUCUGGAUUUAUUAUAAGGCUUAGAGGUGCUGGGAACUAGAGGCUGAGAGUGAUGGGGGAAUCGGUCUAGUGCCAGAAGUCCUCCCAUAUAUGUAGAAGAGAUUCAACGCCCCCUCCUUUCAACACCUUUCGAACCUCAGAAUUGGGAGAGCUGUGUUUGACAAUUCGACAAGCUUUACAAAACAAUUGGCCAGGUGUGAGGAGGCGCAAGUGAAUGCUGAACCUCCUCAUGUUGGAAGACAGUGCCAGCCACUAACGCUUUCAUUUCACAUCGAUUUUACAAAAUGGAAACAAAUCGAACUGGAUCAAACCAAAUUCAAGAAGAGGAAGUGCAACAGAAGAAUGCAAUUUGACUAUAAAGGUGCUUUAGGAUGGUUAAAACAGUAACAGGUCAAUAGAAACCACAGAAAAAGCAGCUGACAACUAGUAGUUUAAAUUAUCUGGCUAAACUGCUGUUCUGCUGAUAUUAGUCAAGUAGGGAAAAUAUGCGGCAUAAAAAAAACAAUAUGUCAGAGAAAUACAAAUCUGGUUUAGCAAGAACUUUUUGGGGGCUUUGUGCCUAUUCAGGAAUCUGCUUCAGAAGUUAUACUGAAAAUGGAGAAGUUUCCAACCUCUCUUUCAGGUUUCUGACACAAACCUAAGGCAUUUAGCUCAUAUUAUGUUUUCUGGAGUCUUUCACUGACCUUCUUUUCUCUUGUUGCAAUACAAUGAGGUUGACAGACUGGAAAAGCUUGUUUGGGACAGAGAAAAGUGGCAGAGAUGGAAUAUCAGACCAGUAACCCUUAAAGGCUACGGAGGGGGUGGGAUCUCUCACACCGACUCAUUGUGACUUCCCUACUAAAUUUUCAUGGAAAAAAAACAAAAAAAAACAGGUGUUAACUGGUACAAGGCUGAAACAGCUAAGUAUUACAAGAGUGAGAAGAAUCUUAUUUCACACACUGACAAAAGCAAACAGCUGCACAUGUUGCUUGCAUGUGUUUUCAGCAGCUACAAGCAGACCAUAUCACAUUAGCCAUCACAUUAACAGGUCUUUAUUGCUGCAGUUUGUGGGUAAAUAUUUUGAGAGUUUUGCCUACAGAAACUUGACUCUUUUUGAGGACACAAGCUAGAAGUUAUCUGGCCAUAAAAUGGAGAUUAGCACACAAGGAGUUUCUAGAUGGAAAAUGAAUGUUUUGGGAGCUGAAAUGUGAACUGCUGUUUGAGCUUUUGAAGAUAAAAUGUCUCCCCGGUGAAGACAAUAAAAAUCCUUAAAUCAGAUCAAAA